CAAUACUCUGGCCACCUGAUGCAGAGAGCUGACUCAUGUGAAAAGACCCUGAUGCUGGGAAAGAUUGAGGGCAGGAGGAUAAGGGGGUGACAGAGGAUGAGAUGGUUGGAUGGCAUCACCGACUCAAUGGACAUGGAUUUGGUUAGACUCCAGCAGUUGGUGAUGGACAGGGAGGCCUGGCAUGCUGCGGUGGGGUUGCAAAGAGUCUGACACGACUUAACUGACUGAGCUGAACUGAAGAGGUGGAAUGUCCACCUCCACCCCCAUCAAGCUCUCUCUUGUUUAUGUCUCAACCUAUACUUUCUUUGUCUCUAUAGCUUUUCUCCAUUCUGCUCCUUAGCCUUAUUCCUCUAUACAUCAUAGACGGUCUAGGCCGUUCAAUAACAUAAAAACUUACAUUUUCAACUCAGUAUCCUACCACUGACAACUGAUAACAGUAAUUGUAAGAUUUACAGAAUCACCCUUUUCUUCACCUACCACUAAGCCCCAUCCCCAAAUUAGGAGAGAAAUAUGGGGAUAGAAAAUAAUCUAUUAGGGCACUUUCCAUUCUAGAUGAGUUAGAUAGAUGCAUUCUCAGGAAAAAUGAGAGGCAUUUGUAAUGAAAAUACACCUGUGGGCAGAAAGUGGGAGAGACUCUAUUUUAGAAGACUAAAGCAAUGUUCUUAUUUCCCAAACAGGACAGAUAAAGUCAUACGAAUAGAAAAUGAGUUCAUGGGAGGUGAGUGCGUGGUCUUCAGAAGAAAAUAACCAAGAUGGCUUUUGUUUGCUUUUGGAUAAUUUGGAAGAAAACUAGCCGCAGCCAUUGUUGUGAAAAGACCAAACUGGAGUUUAAGCACACAGUAGCAAGAAUUUAAAACAAUUUGCAACAACAAAGCACAGUUUAGCUUUUCAAACAGCUUCCAUAGAGAGUCUUUGCUUUACAUUUGCAUAACUUAAUGGCACAUUCAGGCAAUUUUCUCAGAAGACUGAUUCAGGUCUUCAUCUUUUGCAUCCUAAAAAGAAAUCCACAGUAUCCAAAGGAUAGUUCCCUUGUUUCAAGCCUACUCAGAAUUCAGCCCUGUUGGGCUGACAGCUCAAAGUUUGUCCCCCUUCCACAUUUCACUCUAGAUAUCCCUGCCUUUUCAGCUGUAUGUUAACUACAUUUUAUGCAGAGUUCAGCUAAGCCUCAGAUUGGAUGGUUGCCCUAUCCUUGUUUCAACAGGAGUUGUAAUCCAUUUACAUUUAAUAUAACUACUGCGAAAUGAGCACAACUGUAUGAUAAUUUGAACAUUCUUUGGCAUUGCUCUUCUUUGGAAUUGGAAAGAAAACCGACAUUUUCCAGUCCUGCGGCCACUGCUGCGUUCUCCAAAUGUUCUAAUAUAUUAAGUGCAGAACUUUAACAGCAUCACCUUUCAGGAGUUUAAAUAGUCCAGCUGGAAUUCCAUCACCUCCACUAACUUUGUUCAUAAUCAUGCUUCCUAAGGCCCACUUGACUUCACACUCCCGGAUGUCUGGCUCUAGGCCCACAAUGGAAUUCAUGAUGUUUCUCAAACAACCUGCUCCCAGGUCUGGCUUCAGAAGUGCCUUAGUCAGCUCGGGCUGCCUGCCAUAACAAAAUACCUCCGAUUGGGUGGCUUGGCCUACAGAAAUGUGUUUUCUUGCAGUUCUGGAGGCUGGAAGUCUGAGUUCAAGGUGAAGUCCUACAAGACAACGGAGCUCGUGGAUUGGUGCUCACUCCCCAUCCUGUGUCACACCACCUCCCUGCGUUCCCGGGACAGUUCUCAACCUCCCACUCCUGGCCGCUCACACCGAGGGCCUCUGCUCUCCAUCUCCUGUGACUCUGCACCCCUGUACCCAGUGGGGAGAUCCUGGGCACGAGUGCAGGGGGGAUGGGCAUGCCAUGUGUAUCAGGGCAAAGCAGUGGCCAUCCCAGCACCAGGCUGGCAGCACCUGGACACAUUCAGAGAGCAACUUGGCAGCUGUGUGAGCCUCUUGCCCUUCCCUGUCCAGGUACUUAGUGCGUCAUGGCACAGAAGUAACCAUAUUCUAGUUAUGCAGGCGGUUGACCUGUGGCUGGGUUGGGUCUGAGGCCUCAAGGGAAGGGGACCUGCCUGGCUUGAGAUCCAGGGGUGCUGGCCACUGGUUGGCAGGAGUAUAACCUGGCUGCUCUUUGCCUUGUCAUCUGUAUGGUCUGACUCCCUCUGUGUGUAUCCCUGUGCCCAAGAGACUGUGACAGUAAGCAGGAAAUAAAGACCACAAGUUAAGAGAGACACCAUGGAAGAAAGGAAAGAGUUCUCCCUGCAUGUUGAACCGGGGACCUGCCUUUUCAUUUUUCAGUGAGCCCUGUAAAUUAUGUGCCAAGCCUGCCUGCUCUGACUUUAUCCUUAUGUCAGGCAGUGAUUCCAGCACUCUGAUCAUCCAAGCCAGAAUUCUGGGAAUCAUCACUGACUUUUCCCCUUUUCCUGUCCCCCUAGGUAUUUCUAGUGUCUUCAUUUCCAAAUGCCACUGACUUAGUUCAGAUAAGUAAAAGAAAUUUGGAAUGAUCCUGGUUUUGAUUAAGCCACCUGUGAUACUUAUCCCCCAUCAGAUAGGGAAGAAGGAAGGACUUCCCUGCCUGUCCAGUGGUUAAAACUCCAAACUUUCAAUGCAAGGGGCAAGGGUUCGAUUCCUGGUCAGAGAACUAAGAUCUCAUACGCCAGUGGCACAGCCAAAGGGGGGAGAAAUAGAUAAAGGAUAGGGAAGAAAGAGGAAAAGAAACAAGAGCUCAUCCUUCAUCCUUUCUGUUGUCUGUGUUUGUGGGAAUGACAUCAGUUGGGAAAUAGUAAAAGGCAAUAUCUGGGCUUCCCUGGUGGCUCAGUGUUAAAGAAUUUGCCUGCCAGUGGAGGAGACGUGGGUUCAAUCCCUGGUCCGGGAAAAUCCCACAUUCUGUGAAGCAACUAAGCCCAUGUGCCACAACUACUGAGCCUGUGCUCUGGAGCCCAGGAACAGCAACUACUGAAGUCCAUGAGGCCUGGAGCCCCUGUGCCAUAGCAAGAGAAGCCCCUAACAUGAGAAGCCUGAACACCACAGCUAAACAGUAGCCCCCGCAGCUAAAGAGUAGCCUUCACUGCAAUUAGAGAAAGCCCUCGUGUAGCAACGAAGAGCCAGCACAGCCAAAACAAAUAAAUAAAGUUAUUUUAAAACAUUUUUUAAAGAGGUAUGGUCUAAAAACACUUGCCUCCCUUACACUUUUAUGCCCACACCAGCCCAUCGUGAACCCUUGAUUCCUUUUUUGUUUCUAUUUUAACAUGGCCUGCUGGUUACUUCUACCCUGAUAAAUCAGGAAAGGCCCCUGCCACCCUCUUCUUAAUUUCUGCACAUCUUCACUUUAUUGUAUCUUACAGUCCUUGGGGCGAGCACGUGACAUGUAUUCUGCAGACAGAUCCACCGGCGUCUCUGUGGGUAAAAGAAAAGGAGAGAAACAAACAAGGAGGCGAGGGCUUAGCUCCCCUCACAGUUAGCACAAGAUUACCUUCGAUGCAGUUUUUCAGCGGAGGAAUCACCCAGGGAUCAGUUCGGGCAGUGACUUGUAUAUCAGAGUUCAAUGGCAAAUUAAAAACUGCCGUGGGUACCUUAUGCAGAAAAGGAAUUUGACCAAGGAAUUAGGUGCUUACAAAAUUGUGUGAGGGGUGAGGAAGGCAGGCUUUAAGUAAGACCUUUAGGACUGAUUCUCAGGAUGACUGUAGAAGUGAUCCUGCAUACUUUUUGUUGUUCACCUAUCAGCUAUGUUUGUUUAUUUCUUUUUUCUUAAGAGGCUUUAUUGGAAGUGAACCUGUAUUCUUCCCAAAGCGGGC
ensembl:lncRNA